UACAGAGGUCCCAAGCGUUGUUCGGAUUCACUGGGCGUAAAGGGUGCGUAGGCGGUCGGGUAAGUCUGAUGUGAAAUCUCACAGCUUAACUGUGAAACUGCAUUGGAUACUAUCCGACUCGAGGAAUGGAGGGGAGACUGGAAUUCUCGGUGUAGCAGUGAAAUGCGUAGAUAUCAAGUGGAACACCAGUGGCGAAGGCGAGUCUCUGGACAUUUCCUGACGCUGAGGCACGAAAGCCAGGGGAGCAAACGGG
rnacentral:rRNA from 1 species